rnacentral:rRNA from 1 species
UACGGAGGGUGCAAGCGUUGCUCGGAAUCAUUGGGCGUAAGCGUACGCAGCUGUUCGUUAAGUCGGGUGUGAAAGCCCAGGGCUCAACCUGGAACUGCGCCCGAAACUGGCGGGCUUGAGUGCGGGAGAGGGAAGCGGAAUUCCGAGGUGUAGCGGUGAAAUGCGUAGAUAUCUGGAGGAACACCGGUGGCGAAGGCGGCAUCCUGGACCGGUAUUGACGCUGAGGCGCGAAAGCCAGGGGAGCAAAGCGGG